rnacentral:tRNA from 2 species
GCCCGCGUGGUGGAAUGGUAGACACAGAGGACUUAAAAUCCUCAGGCGCAAGCCGUGCCGGUUCGAGUCCGGCCGCGGGUA